CCUCCCAAUUUUCCACUUUUACAACCACAACAGGACUCCCAACCAAUUUUGUGUCCCAUUUGCACUGCACAUUUUCUUUUUUGGCAAAUGGCUUUCAAAUUCGUGGCUGUGCUCUGUUGCUUAGAAACAGCAUAAGGAAAUGGAGCAGAGGAUCUGCCUAGUUGCUGGGCUAUCAUGCUAUGACAAUGUCUACACAUUUGACUGCUAUGUGUUUUAUCAUAGUCUACGGUAUCUGAGUAGCUUCUAGUAUAAUUUCUACUUUUACUGCUACUAGGGGCAUCUGUACUUGGAAGUACUGGCACCCUCAUGCUAUCCAUGCUUGCUUUAGGAUCCAUCACACUUUCUGCAAACUCUGAUAUGUAUGUAUUAAAUGGUAAAAAGGAUUCUCUUAAACAUGUUAAGGGCUGGGGCUGGAAUUCAACUGCAUGAACCAUGGAAAUCAAUGCAUCUGCUCUUGUUGAAUGUGAGCGGGUUAUGAUAUUAAAGAACAAUGUUCGAGAUCAUCUCAUGCUGGUCUGAUAGAGUUGCAGAUGAUGGACACUCGCUUGACACGUAUAGAGGAUCAUUUAAGCAUUACUCCACCUCAGGUGGAGCUGCAGAUGAAGAUGACGAUUGAAGCUGCACCAUUAGGAUCACUAUAUUUUGUGCAUGGAUUUGCUUCCAUUUUGUUCUUAAUCUGUGGAAUGUUGGAUGUUUAACUUGAUUUUACUUUUUCUGUUUUUUAAUUUACUAAAGACUUGUGCUUUUGCAGUGGUUUGUGAUUAUUGGCUGACAAGUUGUUGGAAAUAUUGCUUGGAUUAAA